UGCUGUUGAGAAUCUAGGACCCAACCACAUUAAAUAUGGCAACUAAUGUAUGUGGAAGCCCUGGAUUUUUCAAAGCUGGCUAAAGUUAGCUUUCUUAUCCUGUUGGAUUAAGGGGCACCACUUUCAGAUAAAAACAUAGACCUGAUUGGCAUCAUCCAGUAUCCAAGGAAACCAUGGCCACUCCUGAGAAGUGAGGCUCCUCCUGCAGGUCGGGGUUCACAGGGAGCCUGUGUAUUGUAUUUCUCUUUCCUGAGAACAGGGAGAUUGGCAUUCUCCUGAGCCAGUGUCACAGCCCUCAGACGUUUAAUGCCUCUUCAUGUGAGGCCGGGAUUCCACGCCCAAGUGCAUUUAGUAGGUCUCCUUAAUAGCAGCUCUUCCCUCUAUCCAAGACCGAUCGCAGCAAGCCUCCAAAAAUUUUCAAGAAAACUCCAGAGGAUGAGUUCUGUUGUUGACCUGGCUUCCCAGAAGACAAGGACCUGGAGUGAAUUGUUUGGGCAUUGCAGAAAGGUCUUAUCUUGAUCCAUGGAAACUAUAGGAAAAUACACCAAUGAAUCAACUAUGCAUAUGGGAAAUUAUUCUGACUUUUGCAAAUGAACUACUGAUAAUUGUUUGACCAGUAUUUACUUAUCAGGAAAUCUUGUUGCAUAAAGCAAAGAUGGGAUAAACAUGUUUAGCCCCACUCCAUCUCUGUUUCACAUCAUAUUGUCUGCUAUAGCCACCAAGUCCACAUGGUAAAUAUAUCCAGAUGAAAGAACUUCUGAAGUACUCUAGCUGAAAACAGUAUGAUAAUAUUGCUACUGAAGAAAUCUCAAGAUCAGAACUUCUCAGCCCUGCCAGCGACUGAAGAUGUAAAAAGACUUGCCCAGUGAAGAGCAAUCUCAGUGGAAUCAUGGGAUGAAAGCCUUCUGAAGAAAGAAAAGAUAUCAACACUCUUGAAGAAAGUGUGCCCCAUUGUUUUAGGGAUGGGGAGUUAUUUGUAAUUUCUGUUCUUGUAAAGCCAUUAAAAAUGCUUUUGCUAAAGGCCUGGUUUCUUUGUUUCCACAUUCAGUUAUCAAUUUUAUUUGUUUUUAUAAUUUAGUGAUUUUACUUAUUUUUAUUAAUAGUGUUUUAUUUUUCCAAGUACAUGCAACAAAAGUUUUUAACAUUGAUGUUUGAAAAACCUUGCAUUUCCAAGUUUUCUCCCUCUCUCUCUCUCUCUCUCCUCUCUUUUCCCCUUCCCAAAAUGACAAUCUGAUAUAAGUUAAACAUGUGCAAUUUUUCUAAACAUAUUUCUAUAUUUGUGCUGCUGUGCAAAAAAAAAAAAAAUCAAAAGGGAAAAAAAAAAAAAAACACGAGAAAGAAAAAAAAAAAAAAAGACAAGCAGCAAACAACCAAGGUGAAAAUACUAUGCUUUGAUCCGUAUGCAGUCUUCAUAUUUCUCUCUCUGGAUGUGGAUAGCUCUCUUCAUCACAAGACUGUUGGAAUUGUCUUGAAUCAUCUCAUUGUUGAAAAGAGCUAAGUCUAUUAUAAUAGAUUAUCACAUAAUCUUGUUACUGUGUACAAUGUUCUCUUGGUUCUGCUUACUUCUCAGUUAUGAAUUUAAAAUUGAGAGUGAGUUAUAAGUUAGAACUAAUUGCUAUGUAGAUGGAAGGGGCUUUGUAGAGAAAGAUGCUGUUUGCAGAUACACUUAUUUGCAGUUAAUUCAGUGACAAGGAGGAAAAUAGCAGAUUUUAACGGUUAAUAUUUAUGUAGCAUUUAGUCUACAUCUAGCAACAUCAGUGACCUUAAGUAAUAUUAUAAAUUAGACAGACUUGGUUUUCACCUUUUCUUUCUGUGCUUCUUUUCCAGCUCAUUGCCAGCCCUUCCUUUCAGUUCUUUCUUUCUCCAUUAGUUUUUCAAUCUAAACUUCUCAGCAAAAGAUCUGUAAACCCAAUCACAAAGUGCUAUAAGUAAACUGGAUAAAACUUAAUGUGUUACUCCAUAGAGUCAAAGCCUCAUUAUUUUAAGAGAAGGAUUCUUAAUCUUUUUAUUUUUAUUUGGUCAAGAAUCUUUUUGGUAAUCUGGUGAAACCUAUGGAUCUUUUCUUAGAAUAAUGUUUAAAAUGCAUAGAAUAAAAUAAAUAGGAAUGUAAAGAAAGCCAAUCAUAUUGAAAUAAGAUGAUUAAAAAUAAAAUUGUGGACCCCAGGUUAAGAACCAAUAACUUAAGCCAAGAAAUAAAAGUUUUCUUAUAGAUUAUUUGAUAAAUGGUAAAAAAUUUGAGGGUGAUUGGACUCUUUCCUCCACUGUUAUACAGCCUACUAUGUAAACAGCUGUUAACUCUGUUGUACAUGACCCUGCAUUUUGACUUCUGGUCUCUAAUAUAUAUUAUAACAUAUUUGUAAAUUAUAUAUAUACAAUUAUAUAUAACAUAUACAAUUAUAUAACACUAUUAGUGCUUAUGGACAACAUAGUUCUUUUUUUUCUUCCACUUUAUUUUUAAUACUCACUGCUUUAGGAAUCAUGUUGGGAAAGAAAAAUUAGAGCAAAAGAAAAAAAAAAAACAGGAAAGAAAAAAUACAGAAAAAAGAAGUGAACAUAACAUGUGUUGAUUUACAUUCAAUCUCCAUAGUUCUUUUUCUGAAUGCAGAUGGCAUUUUCUAUCAAAGUCUAUGGAAAUGUUUUGGAUCAUUGAACCACAGAGAAAAACCAAGUCUUUCAUAGUUGAACAUCACAUGUUCUUGCUGUUAUUAUGAACAAUAUAUUUCUGGUUCUGCUUGUUUCGCUCAGCAUCAAUUCAUGAAAAUCUCCAGGCCUUUUGAAAAUCAGCUUGUUCAUCACUUUUUAUAGAACAAUAAGAUUCCAUCAUCUUCAUGUACCACAAUUUAGUCAGUCAUUCUCCAAUUGAUAAGCAUUUAUUUACUGAUUUUCCAAUUCUUUGCUAUAACAAAAACUGCUGCUACAAACAUUUUUUGUACAUAUGGAUCCUUUCCCCUUCUUUAUGGUUUCCUUGGGAUGUAAAGUCAGUGGCAUUGCUGGGUCAAAGGGUAUGUAUAGUUUGAUAGCUCUUUGGGCAUAGUUCCAGAGUGCUCUCCAGAAUAUUUCACAACAUUACCAAUAAUGUAUUAGUGGCCCAGUUUUUUUCACAUUCCUUCCAACAUUUAUCAUUAUCUUUUGCUGUCAUCUUAGGAAAUCUAAGAGGUGUGAGGUGAUAUCUUAGAGUUGUUUUUAUUUGCAUUUCUCUAAUCAAUAGUGAUUUAGAGCAUUUUUCAUAUAACUAUAGAUGAUUUUCAUUUUGCCAUCUGAAAAUUAUCUGUUUAUAUCUUUUCACCAUUCAUCAAUUGGGGAAUGACUUGUAUUCUUAUAAAUGUGACAUAGUUCUUUAUAUAUUUUAGAAGUGAGACCUUUAUCAGAAAUACUGGCUGUGAAUAUUUUUCCCAGCUUUGUACUUCCUUUUUAAUCUUGUUUCUGUUUGUUUUGUUUGUGUGGGCAACAUAGUUUCAAAAACAAUGCAACAUCUUUUUUGGGGUAACAGAGGAAACUGUUCAAUUCAAGUUGAGUUGUCUAAAUCUUCCUUCCAAAAACUACUGGAUCAUAUUGGACACAAGCCUUCACUUUUGAAUGUUAAAUUAAAUAAAACUGCAUAUUGGUAUCAA